AGCAGCCGCGGUAAUUCCAGCUCCAAUAGCGUAUAUUAAAGUUGUUGCAGUUAAAAAGCUCGUAGUUGAAUUUCGGGAUUGACUCGAUGGUCGUGCCUUAAGGGGUAUGAACUGUCGCUGUUGAUUUCUCACCUUCUGGAGAAGCUCGAUGUCCUUAAUUGGAUGUCUUGUGGAACCAGGACCUUUACCUUGAAAAAAUUAGAGUGUUUAAAGCAGGCAUUUUGCUCGAAUACAUUAGCAUGGAAUAAUAGAAUAGGACGGCAUGGUUCUAUUUUGUUGGUUUCUAGGAUCACCGUAAUGAUUAAUAGGGAUAGUUGGGGGCAUUAGUAUUCAAUUGUCAGAGGUGAAAUUCUUGGAUUUAUUGAAGACUAACUACUGCGAAAGCAUUUGCCAAGGAUGUUUUCAUUAAUCAAGAACGAAAGUUAGGGGAUCGAAGACGAUCAGAUACCGUCGUAGUCUUAACCAUAAACUAUGCCGACUAGGAAUCAGACGAUGUAAUUUUUAAUGACUUCG
rnacentral:rRNA from 1 species